rnacentral:rRNA from 1 species
UACGUAGGUGGCAAGCGUUAUCCGGAUUUAUUGGGCGUAAAGGGAACGCAGGCGGUCUUUUAAGUCUGAUGUGAAAGCCUUCGGCUUAACCGGAGUAGUGCAUUGGAAACUGGUAGACUUGAGUGCAGGAGAGGAGAGUGGAAUUCCAUGUGUAGCGGUGAAAUGCGUAGAUAUAUGGAGGAACACCAGUGGCGAAAGCGGCUCUCUGGUCUGUAACUGACGCUGAGGUUCGAAAGCGUGGGUAGCAAACAGG